GGCAAUAAGGAGAUUUGAAGGGACGGAACAUACCCAAAGAUUUAGCUCUGGAUAAUAGUGUUUGGAAAACAGCUAUUCAUGUGCCCGAACCCUGAUUUGUGGUUCUUGUUGGGUUUCAACUCUAAUCUACCCAACUUACUUGGAACUAAAGGCUAUGUUGUUGUUGUAAAAUUAUUUGAAAGAAAAAAGAUUUGUCCUACUUGCUCUGGGAUUUCGAGAGAGUUGGCCCAAUAACUCUCAGGAAAAUAAUUAGUUGAAUCCAGUUUUAUCUUUUAUAAGUUUGAUUCACUACUUUUUUUAUUCUGUAAAACGUCUCAGUAAGUGAAUGGUCUACCUGCUUUAUAGACUUUGAGUGCUCCCACAACAGGUAGUAAUGGGGUAUUUAGGGACUGAUAGUCUGCCGUCUACUUAGUUACAGCAGUAAUGAACUUUACAGAAUGGCUCGGCUCUUCAUCAUCCUUAGGCUCAAUAAAGAAAAGACUAACUGCAAUGCAAAGUAUCACAUAAGGGUUAAAAAUAAAAGCUUAUGCAAAUUUAAAAGUUUGCAGCUUAGUAUUCCCUACAAAAUGCACUCAAAUGCAUUCAGCCAUAGCAGGUUGACUUUUGCAUAUUCCCUGUGCUGUUUGUUGUUUCUUUUCAUUUGUUUUUUGCAAACAAAGGCAAAGGUAUACUUUUCUCGUCAUCUUUUCCUUUACUCCACUUUGAGCCUCACUUUGGCUCCUGCUCACGUGCGCCAUCAUCAGCGAGCAUAUUUUCCCUCCCUCCCCUCUCAAAUUAAGGCACUUUUAUCUUUCCCCUGCAUCUUGUUAAUUUUUAUCCUAUGCUGUUCUGGAAAGAAGAUUAGUUUUGUGCUAAUGAACAGAAAGAGCUCCUCACUUUUCAUUUGCUGUGCAACUUCCUUUGAUUCCUUGAUCUGAUGCUCUGUCGUUCCUUCACUGGCCCUUCAUUAGCAUUUCUUUUCCUCCUCUUUUCUGCUCCUUUGCAAAGAUCUUUUAUGUUCCCUUUGUUGGGCUGCUUAUAAGUACGCGCAUUCUGCUGUCAAUCUGUCAUAUCCGCUGGUGUCCAAAGCAACGAGGCUCCAACUAGCUAGCUGGUUAAAUUGAGUUCGGCAUGGGUUUCCAAAGGAAGAAUCUGGGCAAGAGAACCAUCCAGGUGCCUGAAGAAGCAGAAGUAAUUCCGCAGCUGGUGGAGCUGCGGUCGCUGAAGCUGAAGCGAUCUCGUGGGGUUAUGGAUGACGAAGGUUAUAGACAGCUUUCACCGACGGCAAACGGGGUGGGAACUGAACGCAUCCUGGACUGCCCACCGGCGCCGAAGAAGCCGAGGCUCGUGCUGGGAUGUAGCCUUGAUGGGUUCAAGGUGCUGCGCGUGAUGGACUUGCGUUGCUUCCUGCGCUGAGCCAGUGCGCUGAACCUCUGGUUUUAAGGGUUCUGCAUAGGUGGAGCUAGUCUGCUCGUGUUGUUAGGAUCUGUUUGGGGUAGCUGGAGGUUUUCCAAAAACAGCUGAUCCGAGAACCUAGCAUGUUUGGCCACCUAGCUUCUGGAUAGCUGACUGUUGAGCUGAAGAGUGGAAUGUUUGAAAUAGUAUAACCGUAUAAUGAAUGCCUUUUUAUUUGUAAAAUUGUAAUGAUCUGUCCCGAAGAGCUUGGUUAAUACUAUUUUAUUUGUUUUAUUUGAUA